AGAAGAAAAGCUAAAGCUGCGUAGCUUUUGGACAGACCUCUUUUCCCUGAAGGUCUUCUUCUUCGACCAUUCCCCAUCUUUUUUCUCGAUUUUCCUUCAGCAUCAAAAAAAAAAACCAGUGACCCCUGAACAUUAAUCACCAAACGACCCCUGAUAUCAUCUCAUUCACCCCCGUCAGCCACGCCGCCAAUCCGCCGGAAAACACAGUUCCCAUCCAUCGAGUAUUUCGUCUUCUUCCUUAGCUGAACGACAACCCCCUAUGAACUUUGAGCUUUUCUUCUUCAUCUGUUGAACCUAAAGACCACCGAGCUUCAACCAAACCUAGACCUAGAUGAACAAAAAAGAGACCUAAUGCCUAGACACUACAAAAGAGAUCAGGCGCAGAACCAAAAGAGACACUAAUCUGCUGCAGAACACCAAACGAUCCCCAUCGAUCCCCAUUCCCAUCACCGCUACUCCUCCGACUUCCCUGUUACUGCUACGCAGGAAGGUGAUAGAUCUGGCGAGAAAUCCGGCGACCACCAUUGAAAACGGCAAACACACACACAUGAAAGUAACAUAAAACGGGCAGAACAAAACAAACUAUAUAACAAAAGGAGAUUCGGACUGAGUUCAUCGUUUGAGUCCUCGAGGUCAAGUUUUCCGGCGUGGUCUUUGUUUAACGGGUUUAUUCGAGAUUGUGAUUCCGGUCCAGAUGCCUAGUCUGUAGCUCGCUCGGAGGUUGUGCGGUCUUAGAUCUUUAUUUUCAUUGUAUUUGCUCCAGAAUUUCAAUAAUAGAAGGGUUUGACACGACCAAAGAAGGAGUCUCAAUCCAGAAUAAAGAAGAAAAAGAAGAAAAA